AUACGGAGGAUCCAAGCGUUAUCCGGAUUCAUUGGGUUUAAAGGGUCCGUAGGCGGAUUUUUAAGUCAGUGGUGAAAGCCGACAGCUCAACUGUCGAACUGCCAUUGAUACUGGAAAUCUUGAGUACAAAUGAAGUAGGCGGAAUGAGUCAUGUAGCGGUGAAAUGCAUAGAUAUGACUCAGAACACCGAUUGCGAAGGCAGCUUACUAACAUGUAACUGACGCUGAGGGACGAAAGCGUGGGGAGCGAACAGGAUUAGAUACCCUGGUAGUCCACGCCGUAAACGAUGUGUGUUAGACGUUGGAAACAGGCCUUCUCUUCGGAGCAGAUUACAAGGUGCUGCAUGGUUGUCGUCAGCUCGUGCCGGUAUA
rnacentral:rRNA from 1 species